rnacentral:rRNA from 1 species
UACGUAGGGUGCAAGCGUUGUCCGGAAUUUAUUGGGCGUAAAGAGCUCGUAGGCGGUUUGUCGCGUCUGCUGUGAAAACCCGAGGCUCAACCUCGGCCUGCAGUGGGUACGGGCAGACUAGAGUGCGGUAGGGGAGAUUGGAAUUCCUGGUGUAGCGGUGGAAUGCGCAGAUAUCAGGAAGAACACCCGUGGCGAAGGCGGCUCUCUGGGACGGUACUGACGCUGAGACGCGAAAGCGUGGGGAGCGAACAGG